GAGAGGAAGAGACCUCUGUGGAUAAUUUGGCUCAUGGUUAAAACCUCCUGAAUUUCUGGAUCAGAAAUAAGUUUAAAUCACCAGAUCCAGUUAUUUUGGAAAGGGAGAGACCUCUGUGAAUAAUUCGGCUCCUGGUAAAAACCUCCUGAACAUCUGGAUCUUAUGUUAUCGGAGAAAAAAGUUCACAACACAAAGACCCCUGAGCGCUGGCCAGCCCACCCUGCAGAUGGCCGGAGGAUCAGAGGCUGUCAGCACGCUUAAACGAGCCAAGAGUCGAGGCUUCAGCCCUGCGGGGGAGGACAGAGCAUGAAUGGGGUAUUUCCACCAACCUCUAUAGCCCCCCACUGGGCAUUUGUAAAAUGAUUUGUGGCAAAUUUGUUUAAUCAAUAUGGAUGUGGGGGUUUGGAUACCCUCCUCGGACACAGGUCUUUCUCUGACCUCUUUUUUUUUUCCUUCCCCUGCCUGUAAGUGCAUCAUGAUGUAUUAGGUAAGCUCAGGGUUAAGUCAGGUUUUUGUUUGUAUGUGUGUGAGUACAAAACCAAGUGGAUGCAUACCCGGGAGGAAAGUUAGUGAUGAGGAGAGGGCUCGCCAAACAGCACAGGGAUUCAAACAAGUAAUGCAAGUUUGGACACUUCAUAACAAAGACCUCUUUACAAUGUGUAUUGCAUGUGUGUGUCCUUGAAGAGGAAUAACUCCUUUUGAUCUUUCUGAUGUAUUUUUUGUCUCCAUUAAAAGUUUUUUGGGAGUUUUCCUCUGAACCGAGGGUCUUGAGAUAAAGGCUGUCAUGUGCUCCGCUUGUUUUGAAGCCCUUUAAUUUGCAUCUUGGGCUAAACAAUUAAAAUUGACUUUAAAAUCUAUGAUGUUCUCUUUUUGGGUACUUGAUGUCACGUUUCUCUGUGUAAUAUCACCAGCCUUCCAGGAUGUAAAAGCCGAGACACACCAAACUGACUGACUAAUCACUAGUGGUGAUGUUGGCCUAAGACCAACCGUCAAGGGGUUGAAAUCCUUUUCUCCCUCCAGGCAAGGAAACCCUUGAUUUUGGCAACCGCUUUACAUUUAUUGGAUGACAGUGAUGUGCUUUUUAU